GACGAACGCUGGCGGCGUGCUUAACACAUGCAAGUCGAGCGGUAAGGCCCUUUCGGGGGUACACGAGCGGCGAACGGGUGAGUAACACGUGGGUGACCUGCCCUCAGCUCUGGGAUAAGCCUGGGAAACUGGGUCUAAUACUGGAUAUGACUCCACGGUGCAUGUCGUGGGGUGGAAAGCCUUGUGCGGCUGAGGAUGGGCCCGCGGCCUAUCAGCUUGUUGGUGGGGUGANGGGCCUACCAAGGCGACGACGGGUAGCCGGCCUGAGAGGGCGACCGGCCACACUGGGACUGAGACACGGCCCAGACUCCUACGGGAGGCAGCAGUGGGGAAUAUUGGACAAUGGGCGAAAGCCUGAUCCAGCGACGCCGCGUGGGUGAAGAAGGCCUGCGGGUUGUAAAGCCCUUUC
rnacentral:rRNA from 1 species